CAACUGAGUAACAUGCUUUUCAAAAGUGUUUUUCUAUGUUUCAGAGACAGAAAAGGGGAGACAAAGAAGAAGAAAAAGGAGGGGAAAAGGUAAAAGAAAGGAAGAGAAUGAAUUGCAGCUGAGGAAGUGGAAGAGCGAGAAGCGCUUCCAGAUUCCAGGGACUUAUACCAUCAGAGUUCCUGGUUCUCAGGCCUUCGGACUCAAACCAGAGUUUACAACACUGGCUUUCCUGGGUCUCUCCUUCUCAGCUUCUCCAAGUUUCUCAAACUAAAGCCCGACUUUGGAUAGGUGAUACCAGGAAACAUGAAGAAGGCAAUGAGGAGAGUGAAGCAGUAGAGAAGCCCAGCCAGGGAAGGAGACAGGAGCAAGAUUCCAAUCUGAGCGAAGAGGCACCGCAUUCCACACCCUCAGAAGACUGGCUGGUCUUUAUUCUGUGGCUGGCUCCUCCCUUGGUGAUUGUGCAUGCAUGCCACCUUCCCAACAUCAGCCUUUUUCCUCUUCUGGGAGAUCCCAGAUUUUUUUUUUUCUUAUUGUAAAGACAAUAUAUGUUCAUUUUAAGAAUUUGUAAAAUAAAGAGAAUAAUACAUAAAAAUUAAAAUUAUCACUAAUUCUGCUAUUUUGAAAAAUCUCUGAUGAGCAUAUAUAUAUAUUUGACAUAUACUUGUGUAUAUCUUUAAGAUAUAUCUGUGUAUAUGCAUGUGUGUAAA
rnacentral:lncRNA from 1 species